rnacentral:lncRNA from 1 species
CUUGCACUUCCACUAGGAUCGCCAGGCUCAGUAAAUAGUGCAGGUAGCCAGACAGGUGCUUAUGCAGAAACCCUCCAGGCAUUCUUGCCUCCCGUCCGUCACUCCCCACCCACCUUCACUUUCCAGUCCUAGGAAAUCUACUUCCUAAUCUCCUCUUUCUCAUCACUCCUCUUCUAUGUGCCUCCCCCAGCAUCCUUGAUUCUGGGAUUCCGCUUGUGGCCUCUUACUGUGCUCCCCGCAUCCAUGUGUGCACUCGUAGAAUCCAGCCCCAGCCUCUCAAACACACACCUGACCUUGCUUCAACCCUCCUGCUGCUCACAGCGUGGCCUUUAAAACCCCCAAUCCUCUAGUCCACCUGUUUCUCCAGCUCGCCCUGCUGCUCAAACCACGCCCUGGUGACCCCGUUUUGCUGGAGCUGCUCCUUCUGCCAACUCCUGCCAUUCUUAGGGGAAACCUUCCCCAACUGGGUACACCAGGACUACAAGUCUGAAAAUUCAACCCUCCUCCCCGGUGCCAAGAACAGCCUGCAAGACUCGCAGAUGCACAGAAGCUCCAUUUGUUGGCUUUAAAGAAGCAAGAUGCCAUGUUGUGAGAAAACACUGUGGAAGAGGCAACAAGCCAAGGAACUGCAGGCAGCCUCUAGGAGAUGAGAGUGGUCUCUGGCCAGUAGCCACCAAGAAAAAGCGGACCUCAGUCACACAGCUGCAAAAAGAUGAGUUCUGCUAACCACUGGGGAAGACUUGAAGUGGAUCUUUCCCAACUGAGACUCUGUGUAUUACAGCUCCAAAGAGCGCCUGAGUUGCAUCCUGGUGAAGACCCUGAGUAGAGAAAGUCCAUUUCUGCUGUACCCGGUCUCCUAAUGCAGCAAAUUAGUGUUGUUUUAAGCUUCUGAGUUUGUGAAGAUUUGUUAUGCAGCAAUAGAAAAGUAAUGCAGGAGGUGAGUACGUACACACUCCUACGUAGGGACCAGAAUCCCUGGCUGGGGAGCUCAGUGCCUCAUCUAGUAGUUCUUUGUGUACUUGGUUUGUUGAGAAUUCAAGCCAGCAAACCUGCCGGGAUCAUCAGGACACAGCCCACCGAACAAGAAAACGCACAGAGUCCAGGCAAGAGGGUUGUGCUCAUCUGCAAGCCGAGUAAGAAAGAAGUGAGACCAUACCUGGAAGGCAGGUUGAACAAAGAGGUAUCAAAGGUGAAGACAUGGCACAUGCAGCUUAGCUGGGAGGACACAGCUUCCCCCCAGCUCUGGAUGUCAACUGAAGGUGUUUUAAGUAUGGAAGUUUGUAUCUUCCCGAGAAGGCAGUAUUCUGGUUGCUAUGGAAGAGAGCUGAGUGGACAGACGUGGGUGUGAGCAUCCUGGUGUGAACUGUGAAGCACACAAUCCUUCUGUUGCUUUCCCUUCCCUGAGAUGAUACAUCUCUUCUCUCCUGCCCAUGGGCCCUUUAACCCUCUCCUGACCUAACUUCAUAAGUAGGAGAUGAAAACUGUGGGUAAUGAGGCUUGGAAACCAUCCAAACUGUAGACCUUUGCAUUAAAAUAAAAUGAUUUUUAGUUUACAAAUAGUAUGACUAUUUUAAAAGCAUAUAUAGGCAGAUCAAAAAAAA